UACGUAGGCAGCAAGCGUUGUUCGGAAUUACUGGGCGUAAAGAGUGUGUAGGCGGUGCUCUAAGUUUGGUGUGAAAUCUCCCCGGCUCAACCGGGAGGCUGCAUCGAAUACUGGAAUGCUAGAGGGUGGGAGAGGUAAGCGGAAUUCCUGGUGUAGCGGUGAAAUGCGUAGAUAUCAGGAGGAACACCUGUGGUGUAGACAGCUUACUGGACCACUUCUGACGCUGAGACACGAAAGCGUGGGUAGCAAACAGG
rnacentral:rRNA from 1 species